GUCAGAAAAAUCACUCUCUCCAUCACUACACACUUUUUUCUUGUUUCUCCUCAUAUCAUAUGCCGACCGCAGCUCCCAGUAUUCCUUUUCACAUUCUGUCGAUCAAAAUUUUCCAUUUUAAGCAACCCAAGAAAAUAUUAAAGCAAUUCUAGAUUACGCAUUGCUGGGCUCUUGUUAUCUCUUACAUUUUCUUGGAUUUUUUUUCCAGUUUGAUUAAAUAUAGGACUUUCAAUCUGUUUAAUAGAAUUAUUUAAAAUCCCAUUUUCAGAGAAUUUUGUACCUUUACUGUAAAAUCCAUGUUUUUUUUAAUCAUAGUUAGUAUCUUCUGUUGAAAUUUUUGGAAGUGCAGUUUGAAUCUUUUGGGACAAAUUACUAUUUUUAUUUAAUUAGCCAGACAUUAACUUUAUGUGCAAAUUAAUAAUGGUCUUGUACAGUUGUUGUAAAACAAAAGUCUUAUUUAAAUUAGUGAUUUUGCGAGAAAAAAAUAUCUAGGGUGGUGCGGUAGUUGAUGGAGAGCAGUGGAGGAGAUGAUCAAGGCUCUGGAUGGAUGCAAGUCAAAAAGAAACAUAGAAGCAAAUCAAAAUUCCCACAGCAUGGUUUGGUUGGAGGACUCUCUGGAAAACAAAAUUCUACUCAUAUGAGCACCCAGCUUCCAUCGGGCGUAAAACAAGACAAAGACAAGUUUGCUUCGGAUGCUGGUAGAGACUGUACUAUACAUGGUCCCAAUAGUGCUCCAAAUUCCUCUUCUGUUUCAACUGAAGAUGAGGGGGUUGUUCAUUGCCUUGAUAAAUGUGUUGUCAGUCAAGAUAAUGGAAACUCCAAAUCAUUUCAUUUAGCAGCUACAGAAAUCCAAGAUUCUAAUUGUAAAGUAGUUGCCAAUGAAGAACAUACUCAGAAGAAUACUGUCUUUCCAAAAAUUAAGUGGGGUGAUUUAGAUGAUGGAACAUUGAUAAUGCAUUAUGGUAACGCUCGUGAGACUGGAAUUAAAUUAGGUGGGAUUGAUAAUCAUAAUUUGGUCUGUAUGAAAUCUGAGAGUGCUGAUGAAUCUAUUUCAUGUUCCAAAAUUGAUAGCAAGGACAACAAAUUUGUUGGGGCAAUAGUAGAUGAAAAUCAGGCUCUUCCAAAGUCUGAUUCUUUCUCCCCAAUGGCAGUUUCUUUUGCCAAAGACCGUAAUGGGGUGAAUGAGGUAUCUUCAGAAGAUGUGAAAGUGCAAAUUACAAGUGAGAGGAUAGUUAGUCAAAGCACUAUUACUUCUAAUUUCGAUGUAGAUUGUGAACAUGUUAACAGCAAAACUGAUGAUGCUUCCCAUUUGUCCGGUGAAAAUACUCCAUGUGCUGCCAUUGAAGAGAUUGGAAUGAUGGAAACACCUGGUUUGAAAUCUGAAACUGGUUGCUCCAAAGAUUAUGUUGUGCCACCUGAGAAGAGUGAACAUAGGAGUGUGGCAGAGUCUAUCCCGACCACCUCUGUGGAAGAGUCUAGGUAUCAAAAGUGUGAUUCAAUUUCUGAGGAUUUACUGGAAACUCAAAAUUUGAAUUCCAUAGAUUCAGAUGACACGUGUGAAAGUAAAGAAAGAUUCAGGCAACGCCUUUGGUGCUUUCUCUUUGAGAGCCUUAAUAGGGCUGUAGAUGAACUCUAUCUUCUGUGCGAACUUGAAUGUGAUAAUGAGCAGAUGAAAGAGGCCGUCCUUGUUCUUGAAGAAGCUGCAUCAGAUUUUAGAGAACUGAAUUCCAGAGUUGAGGAAUUUGAGAAACUGAAAAGGUCCUCUUCUCAUGUAACUGCUGGGGUCCCAUUGGUCAUGCAGUCUGAUCACCGCAGACCACAUGCCCUCUCAUGGGAGGUUCGUCGAAUGACAUCUUCACCACGCAGGGCAGAGAUACUUUCUUCAUCUCUUGAGGCUUUUAGGAAAAUACAACAAGAGAGAACUAGGGAACAUGCUAACAGUGCUGAGAAACUGGGGUCUGAUUUUCAUAGUCGCCAUCCCAGAUCAGGUGAUAUUUUGGAGAAGUCUGCUAAGAGUAGUAAUUUAGAAGGCGAUAAAUAUGCUAAGAGAAGUAAUUUAGAAGGCGAUCCUAAAGAAUCAACAGCAAAGGAAAGGAAACGAACUGGAUCCACAAAUAACUCUCGGAGAUCAAUCAAAGAAAAGAAAAAUAUUGAUUCAGGGAAAUCUAAUUCUGUUGCAUCCAGGUUACCGAUCAAUAGGGAACUAAAUGCAGAUUCAGAAGCUGAUAGACCUCUUUCUAAGAAAGAAAAAAUGUUGGCAGAACAUACUGUGGGGAAAAAUUCCAAAGCAAUUGAUUCCCUGAAAAGACAGAUUCCUUGUCUUGAGAAAGAGGGGGAAAAGAGAAAUGGGAACUCAUGGAAAUCUAUGGAUGCCUGGAAAGAGAAGAGGAAUUGGGAGGACAUACUUGGCACUCCACAUCGUGUAUCUUCCCGUUUUUCUUAUUCACCAGGCAUGGGUAGGAAAAGUGCUGAUCGUGCACGCCUUUUGCAUGAUAAACUUAUGUCUCCUGAGAAGAAAAAAAAAUCAGCUCUUGACCUUAAAAAGGAAGCAGAAGAGAAACAUGCACGAGCGACUAGAAUCAGAACUCAACUUGAGAAUGAGAGAAUGCAAAAACUUCAAAGAACUUCAGAUAAACUGAACCGUGUGAAUGAGUGGCAGACUGUUCGCAGCAAUAAGUUGCGGGAGUCAAUGUUUGCUCGCCACCAGCGUAGUGAAUCCAGGCAUGAAGCAUAUUUAGCUCAGGUUGUGAGAAGAGCUGGUGAUGAAAGCAGUAAAGUUAAUGAGGUACGAUUCAUCACAUCGCUAAAUGAAGAGAAUAAAAAGCUUAUAUUGAGGCAGAAACUUCAGGAUUCAGAAUUGAGAAGGGCUGAGAAACUUCAAGUGAUGAAAAUUAAACAGAGAGAGGACAUGGCUAGGGAAGAAGCUGUUCUGGAACGCAAAAGGCUCAUUGAAGCAGAAAAGUUGCAGCGUCUUGCAGAGACACAGCGAAGGAAGGAAGAGGCUCAAGUAAGAAGGGAAGAAGAGCGCAAAGCAUCAAGUGCAGCACGAGAAGCCAGGGCUAUGGAACAGAUGCGAAGAAAGGAGGUCCGAGCCAAAGCUCAACAGGAGGAGGCUGAACUCCUGGCUCAGAGAUUAGCCGAAAGACUCAGUGAAAGUGAACAGCGACGCAAGUUUUAUCUUGAACAAAUACGCGAAAGAGCAUCAAUGGAUUUUAGGGAUCAAUCUUCACCUUUAUUGCGGCGCUCUGUGAAUAAGGAUGGUCAAUCUCAAGGCAGAUCUACUCCAAAUGGUAAUGGAGAAGAUUAUCAGGUAAACAACAGUGGUUGUACAGGAGGCUCAAGUAUUGCGACUGGCAAUGAGUCAAUGCAUAACUCGUUGAAGCGAAAAAUUAAAAAAAUUCGACAAAGACUAAUGUCGUUAAAACAUGAAUUUUCUGAGCCUUCUGUUGGUGUUGAAAAUUCUGGGAUAGGCUAUAGGACUGCUGUGGGAACUGCAAGGGGAAAAAUUGCCAGAUGGCUUCAGGAACUGCAAAAACUUCGCCAAGCAAGAAAAGAUGGUGCUUCUACUUUUGGACUAAUAACUGCUGAAAUAAUCAAGUUCUUGGAGGGAAGGGAUACUGAGCUGCAGGCAUCUCGCCAAGCUGGUUUAAUAGAUUUCAUUGCUUCUGCUCUACCUGCUUCUCACACAUCAAAACCUGAAGCCUGUCAGGUUACAACAUACCUUCUAAGACUUCUGAGGGUAGUGCUUGUAGUGCCAGCAAACCGGAGUUAUUUUCUUGCACAAAAUCUCUUGCCCCCAAUCAUCCCCAUGUUGGCUGCCGCACUUGAGAAUUAUAUUAAAAUGGCAGCAUCAUCAAAUAUCCGUGGUUCUACCAACUUUAUCUCAAGUAAAACAUCGGUUGGAAAUUUGGAGACUAUUUCUGAAAUUUUAGAUGGUUUUCUAUGGUCCGUGGCUGCAAUUAUCGGUCAUGUCAGCUGUGAUGUGCGCCAACAUCAGAUGCAGGAUGGUCUAUUAGAGCUUGUUAUUGAGUACCAAAUUAUCCACCGGUUAAGGGAUUUUUUUGCACUUUAUGAUAGGCCUCAGGUGGAAGGUUCACCUUUUCCUUCAUCUAUUCUCUUAAGUAUAAAUUUGUUGACUGUUCUGACUUCCAAAUUUGGAGAAGUGUCCUCAAUAGAUUGGGAAUCUUUUCCAAAUGCAACGAUGCCAGGAAAAACACCUGGGGAAGCAAAACAUUUUGAGGCUGCAACCUCAAGAUCUUCCACUUCAUGCGAUUCUAUUGGAUAUAAUAGUUCACCUUUUCUGCCUACUGGUAGCACACCUGUAAAUUUGCCAGAUGUACCAGAGGAUAGGCCACUAGACAAUAUUCCAGUACUCAUUGAUAAUAAAUCACAUAAAAUUGAGUGUAUUAGCUAUAAGAUCAAAACUGUAGAGGUCGUGGAUGAGUCUCCAAUAAUUCCGACUGAUAAUAAACCUGAGGGUUCUCUCCCUCAGAAAGUUGGAAAGAAUUCUUCAAGCUGUGCUGCAGAACAAAAGAAUGCAAAUGACUUUGGCUUAAAGCGGCCUGUAGCCUUUCUUCUCUCAGCGAUGUCUGAGACUGGCUUAGUCUGUCUUCCUUCCAUGUUAACUGCUGUGCUAUUGCAGGCUAAUAACCGGUUAUCUGCAGAACAGUUUAUCAUCUUGAACAAAGAGAAAACCAGUGCAUGUCCAUUUCAUCUUGGCAUCAGCACGUGGAUGCAGAGUUCGUAUGUCCUUCCAUCUAAUUUUGAGGAAGUGGCGACUGGAGUGCUGAAGGUGUUGAACAAUCUGGCAUUAAUUGAUAUUACUUUCAUACAGAAAACACUAGCUCGGCCUGACCUUAAAAUGGAGUUCUUUCACUUGAUGAGUUUUCUUCUUUCUUAUUGCACAAGCAAGUGGGAAAUAGCUACUGAUAAGGAAAAAAGGCGGAACAUUUUACACGUGAAAGGAAAAGGUGAUGUUGGGUCCAUGUCAGUUGAUUACUGUUACUCCGAUAUUUGUGAAUUAGUUUUGUAUUAAUCUAGGGAGGUCACAAAUAAGUUUUGAGAUAUUAUAUUUUCGAUGUUAUACGUUUCUCAGAUUGGUCAGCUUUUGCUGGAAUGUUUGGUUCUUCUUGGAUACUUUGCAUUGUUCCAUCCUGAGAAUCAAGCUGUCCUUCGCUGGGGAAAGAGCCCGACCAUCCUUCACAAGGUCUGCGAUUUGCCAUUUGUGUUCUUUAGUGAUCCCGAGUUGAUGCCAAUAUUAGCCGGCACAUUGGUGGCUACCUCAUUUGGAUGUGAACAAAACAAGGAUGUUAUUCAGCAGGAACUCAGUGUGGACAUGCUUCUUUCCUUGCUCAAAUCAUGCAAAAACAGUCAGUGCAAUUCGACCUUAAACAGCACGCCAGCAGAAGAGUCUGCUCUUGAAUUUAAAAAACUACCGGUUGAUGCGUCCCAGAAAUCAUACCGAAACAAUCUAAGAAGCAGUCGAGGAGUUCCCCAGAGAGGGUUUCUGCCUGCCAGUAAUAUGAGAACAAUGAAGGCGCGAAACCUGAAAGACACCAAAGCUGCAAAGCUUUGUGAAGAGGUGUGUUUGGGGACUGGUCAAUCUUCGUCUGAAACUUCUGCCUUAAUGUUGAGAUUUCCCAUAAGCUUCAUCAACAAAGCAGAGCAGUUUUUUGCAGCUGAAACAACCGGGCUAAGCGAAGGUGAUUAUUGAUAUGGAAGCUUGUAUGUUUAGAGGGAAUUCAUGAACAGCACAUUUUACAAUGAAAAGAAAUGGAGAAACUUUGGUAUUAUAAAA